rnacentral:rRNA from 1 species
AUGGUGUCCUCUCGCUGCGCCGUCCUGCCCCACCCUGCCGGAGUGGUCCCUCGUCGCCGGCAACACCUACCCGCACAGGCGUUCUGCGGGGCGGAGAGGAGGAGGCGGCGGCGGCUCGUGAGCUUCGAGGCGCCGCCUCGGUGCCACAAGAUGUAUGUUCCCGGCUUUGGAGAGGGCUCCCCAGAGAAAAAGGCGGCGAUUAGUCUGCUGAACUUCUUCAAUUACCUGGCCGUCAGGAUUGUGCUGGCACAGCUUGAGAGUUACAACCGAGAAGCCUAUGUUGAGCUCAAGGAGUUCACCAGCCGCAACUCCGUGAACGACGCUGAUAGUUUCUGCAAAAACCUGAUCCGCGAGUCGCCAAGACACAAGGCAUUAGCUAUGAGGAUUUUGGAGGUUCGAUCGGCUUAUAUGAAGAAUGAUUUCGAGUGGGACAACCUGAAGAAGCUAUCGUUCAAGAUGGUUGAUGAGGCCAACAUAAAGCUCAUGAGGGAUUAUGUCCUGGAGACCAGCCACAUAGAAGACGACGAGUGA